CCUACGGGAGGCAGCAGUGAGGAAUAUUGGUCAAUGGACGAGAGUCUGAACCAGCCAAGUAGCGUGAAGGAUGACUGCCCUAUGGGUUGUAAACUUCUUUUAUAUGGGAAUAAAAUGUUCCACGUGUGGCUUUUUGUAUGUACUUUAUGAAUAAGGAUCGGCUAACUCCGUGCCAGCAGCCGCGGUAAUACGGAGGAUCCGAGCGUUAUCCGGAUUUAUUGGGUUUAAAGGGAGCGUAGGUGGAUUGUUAAGUCAGUUGUGAAAGUUUGCGGCUCAACCGUAAAAUUGCAGUUGAAACUGGCAGUCUUGAGUACAGUAGAGGUAGGCGGAAUGCGUGGUGUAGCGGUGAAAUGCUGAGAUAUCACGAAGAACUCCGAUUGCGAAGGCAGCUCACUGGACUGCAACUGACACUGAGGCUCGAAAGUGUGGGUAUCAAACAGGAUUAGAUACCCGUGUAGUC
rnacentral:rRNA from 1 species